GCAAAAGCCCUAUUUAGGGCUACCGAAAAUCUAUUUUCGAAUUCAUU
rfam:Picea glauca, whole genome shotgun sequence.